UACGUAGGAAGCAAGCGUUGUCCGGAUUUAUUGGGUGUAAAGGGUGCGCAGGCGGAAGAGCAAGUCGGUGGUGAAAUCCUCAUGCUUAACAUGAGAGCUGCCAUCGAUACUGUUUUUCUUGAGUGCGGGAGAGAGUGAUGGAAUUCCAGGUGUAGCAGUGAAAUGUGUAGAUAUCUGGAAGAACACCAGUGGCGAAGGCAGUCACUUGGCCCGUAACUGACGCUCAUGCACGAAAGCGUGGGGAGCAAACAGG
rnacentral:rRNA from 1 species